UGCCAUGUUGGGAUAAGUCAUUGUUUUUCCCAUACAUAUUAAGCGACAUACAUAAUUUUAAUUUGUUAGGCCAUGUGUCAAUCGCUCUUUUACUUAAACUUUUAUGACCGCCUUCUUUAAAUUGUGGCUUUCUCUUUCGAUACUUUCUUAUCUGUUCCUACAAAUAUUAUCUUGUUAAAAAGUCAUAUAAAGAGUUUGAUUCCCCUUUGUUAUAUUCGAUUGAGAAAUCAAAUGCCGAAAGUAUGGUCUGCCGUCGUGCAAAAAUCUGUUUGGUGCUAAAUUUUUAACGUCCUUCUGCAAUCUUCUUUUGCAAACGUAUGAUCAUUCUUAUGCAGAACUGAUAUGAUGAAAUUUGGGACCAUAAGAUGGAGGACGGCCUUCAUUUAACCUUGCGGCUUCCUCUUUUCAUUAUCUCGUUAAAAAUUCAGGUUUUUUGUCUCGCUGAUGUGGACCUCAUGUGGAUAAUCCAUUAACAUGCAAUUCAUGACCACUUGAGCAUGUGAUCGUGGUACAAGGAGGUUACAGGAGGAGGUUACUGCCAAUUAUUUAUUUAUGUGUAUUUAAGAAAGUUAUGUUUUAGUAGAAACUGAAUAUUAUCCAUGUAAUAUAUAUAUAUAUAUAUAUUUAGAAGUAGGACUAUAGGGAGGUAUUAUGAAUGAAUGAAAUUGACUUCUGACC